AACUAUGUUUGUUAUUGGUAUGAGUUUUCGUGUGCAUGCACACUUCUUCAGAUACACUGAAGAAGAAGUAUCUGAAGAAGUGUGCAUGCACAUGAAAGCUCAUACCAAUAACAAACUUAGUUGG